rnacentral:rRNA from 1 species
UGUCUGAUUAGCUAGUUGGUGAGGUAAAGGCUUACCAAGGCUUCGAUCAGUAGCUGGUCUGAGAGGACGACCAGCCACACUGGGACUGAGACACGGCCCAGACUCCUACGGGAGGCAGCAGUGGGGAAUUUUGGACAAUGGGGGAAACCCUGAUCCAGCCAUGCCGCGUGAGUGAAGAAGGCCUUCGGGUUGUAAAGCUCUUUCAGCCGGAACGAAACGGUCACGGUUAAUACCUGUGACCACUGACGGUACCGGAAGAAGAAGCACCGGCUAACUACGUGCCAGCAGCCGCGGUAAUACGUAGGGUGCGAGCGUUAAUCGGAAUUACUGGGCGUAAAGCGUGCGCAGGCGGUUUUGUAAGUCAGAUGUGAAAUCCCCGGGCUUAACCUGGGAACUGCGUUUGA